UCCCGUUCCCGUCCCGUAUAUAUGCGAAUUGGUGUGGUGAGAACGACGUGGUUUGUCACAUUUCUUCGCGCGACGAGGACGAUGGACGGUAUUAUCUCGAGGGAUAUGACCUUGCGUCUUUUGCCCGGUCGAGAAAAUUGGGCGGUCAAUUCUUCCUUGUCGGCCGCGGCUGUCGUCCAUGCGCAUGUACUGUGCUGGCAAUUGACAUGCCCAAGUGGCACGGCUGUACAUAUGAGGCCGGGAAGUUUCGUUCGGAUAGAUAGAUGUUACUACUACUUGGCGCCAUGUCCGCCGCCCAAUCGAGCUUGGCCGAUCCAUGGCCUGAGCGCGACGUGCCGGCCUGUAGACGUUGCGUCGAUCACAGGACGAUCGAUCGAUCGGUUGCCAUGAUUCAAGCUUGUGUCCAAUCGGUCAGGCUGGGCGACGAUCAAGCUUGUGACACAACACGCUAUCACAGUCCCCGUCACAUGACCGGCGUCGGACAGAAUAGAUCGAUGGCCGACGAGGCGGCUCCGAUUGAUCGAUCGUGCGGUUCUCGGGUGACAACGUUAACGGGUCAUGCACUCUCAGAAGGAGGAAAAUAUAGUAACCGGUCAGGCACGCUGGCGGGUCUGGGACGGUACGUAGACCGAGGCUGAGCCACCGAGGUGAAGCGGUUGGAGUUGAUUAGAGUUCUCUUCUGUUAGCUUAGAGAAGAAGGGUCCGUCGUUACCUUUCUAGCUGGCUGCCUAUGGUUGCCGCCCGGUGGCUACGUGCUUCAGACCCGCGAUGGACGCCGCGUUGACAUACCAAAUCUGAAUAUUGUAAUCUGAUGCAGAUCUCGCUCGAUUAAUCUAGGGAGCCAUGCGUUUUGCAUCAAAUGGUUAAUUGCUAAGAAAGUAAGGAAAUUGGUAGAGGAAAGGAAUGGGAAUGUUCCACUGGCCAGAUACCAAAACCACUAUAUCUAACCAAGUUUUUGCCUUCACGUUUCACCACUUGGGUGAAAGCAACUUGACAAGCUGUGGGCUGCCGACACGUGUAUUAAUUUGGGUUACAGGGGUGUACAAAUUCAUUGUGACUUUAGAUUUUUGAUGUAAAUUUUGUUAACUGAUUCGCAUUUUUGUGUGUGCACUUGGGGUGGCUUCAGCGAUUUCCUAAUGAUCCGGGGCAGUCUGUUUGAUUUGGAUUUGUUUCUUGCAUGUGUGUGUUGACUGGCCUGGGCCGAUUUAUGGUGAUGCGGUUAUUGCAUAGACUCCCGUUUCUCCCUCUCAAUUUUCUCCGUGUGUCCCUCUCUGUCAAAGGCUCGCGAAGCAUCCCGUGGUUGCUCCACCUCCACCACCCACCGCUCAACAGCAUGUCGCCGCUCCACCGCCGUGGUCGUUUAUAAAAAGCUCUUGUCCCCUCCCCUUGAGUUCACUGCGCACGUCUCCCAGAUUCUCGGCGACGCAAAACCCAUCGUUCCCGACUUCAUUGAUGGCCGAUGCAUCGCCGGAGCUCUCACCAGCUAGGCCGUCCCCUUCCUAGCGCCGGUCGGCGUAGCUCUCUCUUCCACUUCUGCGCCCACCUCCUCCCAGCCAGGCGCUCCAAUCAUGGCGCAGAGGCCGGAUCGAGCCCAUAUGGCGUGGCGGCGGCCGAAUUCACAACGGCGAUGACACCCAGCGGUCCCCGCUGGCCCAACCAAGUUUGUUUUCCUCUCCCCAUCCUCUCCCGCGAGCACCCUCGAUUUCGUCUCGCCGGUUCAGGCCACUCGCAGCAGCCGACCACCUGUAGCAACUAGCAACUCCAUGGCUGUCGCCGCCUUCUAGGUUGUGGCGGAGCCCCGCUCCAGCACACAACGCAUGCCGAUUCACUUCCGUUCCUUUACGGAACCAUCGCCAGCCUACCGGAAGGGAAGGCGACGGCCGGUGCCAAGGGCUGCAGAGUGGGCACCGUGCUGGCCCUUGCCAUCCCCUCCCACUGACAGGGCUUUCCAUGUUUUAUCCCCAUUACCAUUGACGAGGACAGAUCAUAGGAUACCAGUACCACUGCUGGGAGCCUGGGACAUGUACUAUCAUGACAAUGUCAGGAGAACCUUCAUCUCUGGGCAUGAGAUGCAUAUGCAUUUCCCAAAAAUUGAUCCCGUGGACAAGAUCAGGUUAGUGAUUCAGGAGUUCCUGCCAAGACUGGCUUUUGGAAGUUAUGCUUGCUUCACUAGUUGGGUUUAACAAGGACAUAAUCAAUUCUCUGUUGGUUAGUAGUACGGAAGUUCCUGUCAAGAAUGACUUUUGGAAGUUAUGCUAGCUUCAUCAGUUGGGCUUUCUGUACAAAACUAAGAUAACUUAUUUUGGUACUUGCGAUUAGUAUUACACAGAUGGGUGAUGCACACAUACUUCACCCGAUGUAUCUGUUCAUGUAUGUUGUUAUUAGCUAAUUAGACAAAAUUCCUCUGUUUGUAUGGUGUUUGUGAUGAUGCUAUCAAUUCACUAAACACUAAAAUACCGGGUUGUGCUUUCAAAUCUAGCAAAUUAAUUUUCUCUAUU